GACGAACGCUGGCGGCGUGCUUAACACAUGCAAGUCGAGCGGUAAGGCCCUUUCGGGGGUACACGAGCGGCGAACGGGUGAGUAACACGUGGGUGACCUGCCCUCGGCUCUGGGAUAAGCCUGGGAAACUGGGUCUAAUACCGGAUAUGACUCCAUGACGCAUGUUGUGGGGUGGAAAGCCUUGUGCGGCUGAGGAUGGGCCCGCGGCCUAUCAGCUUGUUGGUGGGGUGAGGCCUACCAAGGCGACGACGGGUAGCCGGCCUGAGAGGGCGACCGGCCACACUGGGACUGAGACACGGCCCAGACUCCUACGGGAGGCAGCAGUGGGGAAUCUUGCGCAAUGGGCGAAAGCCUGACGCAGCGACGCCGCGUGAGGGAUGACGGCCU
rnacentral:rRNA from 1 species